AAAUGUAAUUUAAAACAUAUACCGUGAUCAGGAAGGUGGUUUUCCCAGGGCGAGGCUCACCCAUUGCACUGCGGGUGUGCUGAUCCCUGCGAUUUCCCCAAAUGCGGGAAACACGACUGCAUACUUUGUGGUAGUGGGGGACUGUGUUCGCGCUCUCCCCUG
ensembl:snRNA U1 U1 spliceosomal RNA